rnacentral:rRNA from 1 species
GACGAACGCUGGCGGCGUGCCUAAUACAUGCAAGUAGAACGCUGAAGGCGGAGCUUGCUUCUCUGGAUGAGUUGCGAACGGGUGAGUAACGCGUAGGUAACCUGCCUGGUAGCGGGGGAUAACUAUUGGAAACGAUAGCUAAUACCGCAUAAGAGUAGAUGUUGCAUGACAUUUGCUUAAAAGGUGCAAUUGCAUCACUACCAGAUGGUCCUGCGUUGUAUUAGCUAGUUGGUGGGGUAACGGCUUACCAAGGCGACGAUACAUAGCCGACCGGGGAGGGGGAUAGCCCACAUGGGGACGUGGACAGCGCCAAGAGGCCUACGGGAGGGAGCAGUAGGGAAUCGUCGGCAAUGGACGGAAGUCUGACCGAGCAAGGGCGAGUGAGUGACGAAGGUGCUCGGAGCGGAAAGAUCGGUUGUGAGAGGAGAACGAGUGUGAGCGUGGAAAGUUCACACUGUGACGGUAUCUUACCAGAAAGCAACGGCUAACUACGUG